GAUGAAGAACGCAGCGAAAUGCGAUACGUAAUGUGAAUUGCAGAAUUCAGUGAAUCAUCGAGUCUUUGAACGCACAUUGCGCCCCCUGGUAUUCCGGGGGGCAUGCCUGUCCGAGCGUCAUUGCUGCCCUCAAGCACGGUUUGUGUGUUGGGCCUCCGUCCUCCUCCCGGGGGACGGGCCCGAAAGGCAGCGGCGGCACCGCGUCCGGUCCUCGAGCGUAUGGGGCUUUGUCACCCGCUCUGUAGGCCCGGCCGGCGCUUGCCGAUCAACCAAAUUUUUAUCCAGGUUGACCUCGGAUCAGGUAGGGAUACCCGCUGAACUUAAGCAUAUCAAUAAGCGGAGGA
rnacentral:misc_RNA from 1 species